AGGAGAGACAGUCUCAUGGAAUCUAUCUCCAAUAGGCUUCUGGAAAGCCUCUUCUUGGUCACCUUUGGCCUGGCUCCUCCCACUGGCAUCAGCUUCUUUGAGGCAGUUGAUCACGCUCAGGACCAGAAACAACAACAACAACAACAACAACAACAACAACAACAACAACACAGCCUUCCAUCAGGAAUUCUCAAACAUUUACAGGAUAAAUGAAUGCUGCCAUCUAUUCAAUGAAAAUACUUAAACAAAUCUGUAAAACGAACAGAAGGAAAAGCAGCACUUGCCACC